ACCAGGUGCUGCUCCACGACCUGCAGCCUGAGCCUUAGCUCGCAUGGCCAUAGCACGUCCCCGUCCAACACCGAGUGAUGAACCUUUGCCCUUGAUUCUGGAUUCUAGCCGCUUGAACAUGGGAGCAUUCUUAAGCAUAUCAGGAAUUAUCAUGAACCUGACUUUGCUGCCUCGAAUAAAAACGUGUUCCAGUUGUGACACCCUUCCAUCUUUGGCAGUGUAAGUUAUGCUUUCGAGCUGACAAUUCCAGUUAUCCUCGCACUCAACCAUACUUCCUCUGUAAAGCUCACCGCUCUUCAUUUCAACGGUUACUAUGUGCCCUGUUGCUUCGUGUAGAAGCUUCACCGGAAUCCCCAAGCUACGACUCAUCGUUAUUAUCCUUCUAGAACCUUCUCUUCUUCUCUGCUAAACCUAAUGGUUGUUUUCCGG
rnacentral:misc_RNA from 1 species